CCUACGGGAGGCAGCAGUGAGGAAUAUUGGUCAAUGGGCGGAAGCCUGAACCAGCCAAGUCGCGUGAGGGAAUAAGGCCCUACGGGUCGUAAACCUCUUUUGCCGGGGAGCAAGGGCUGGGACGUGUCCCGUCCCGGAUAGUCCCCGGAGACAAAGCAUCGGCUAACUCCGUGCCAGCAGCCGCGGUAAUACGGAGGAUGCGAGCGUUAUCCGGAUUUAUUGGGUUUAAAGGGUGCGUAGGCGGGCUUUUAAGUCAGCGGUAAAAAUUCGGGGCUCAACCCCGUCCGGCCGUUGAAACUGGGGGCCUUGAGUGGGCGAGAAGAAGGCGGAAUGCGUGGUGUAGCGGUGAAAUGCAUAGAUAUCACGCAGAACCCCGAUUGCGAAGGCAGCCUUCCGGCGCCCGACUGACGCUGAGGCACGAAAGUGCGGGGAUCGAACAGGAUUAGAUACCCUUGUAGUC
rnacentral:rRNA from 1 species